rnacentral:rRNA from 1 species
ACUCCUACGGGAGGCAGCAGUGGGAAGUAAUUGCAUCAAUGGGAAACCCGGUAGCAUGCAGCCAUGCCGCGUGUGUGAAGAAGGCCUUCGGGUUGUAAAGCACUUUCAGUAGGGAGGAAGGUAGUGUAGUUAACACCUGCACUAUUUGACGUUACCUACAGAAGAAGCACCGGCUAACUCCGUGCCAGCAGCCGCGGUAAUACGGAGGGUGCGAGCGUUAAUCGGAAUUACUGGGCGUAAAGCGCAUGCAGGCGGCCUGUUAAGUCAGAUGUGAAAGCCC